GUUUUAAUAAUUUAAUAAAAUAUUAGUUUUGUAAACUAAAUUUAGGAUUUUCCUUUAAAACA
rnacentral:tRNA from 1 species